rnacentral:rRNA from 1 species
CUGUUCUCAGUUCGGACUGCAGUCUGCAACUCGACUGCACGAAGCUGGAAUCGCUAGUAAUCGCGGAUCAGCACGCCGCGGUGAAUACGUUCCCGGGCCUUGUACACACCGCCCGUCACACCAUGGAAGUCUGCAAUGCCCGAAGCCGGUGGCCUAACCACUUAUGUGGAAGGAGCCGUCUAAGGCAGGGCAGAUGACUGGGGUGAAGUCGUAACAAGGUAAC